CCUUGAACAGCUAGAGAAGGUGAAACCAGAGAAGAAAAGGCCAGUUGUAGUACCAGCCAACAAACGAGUACGAGCUAACAAUGGCGGUCCCAUGCCUCCGGCCAAGGCUGGCCGCUUGACGAAUGCAUAUGUGUCUUCGUUCCCUACACCUCCUACAUUUGUCAGGUCUCCUUCCCAUGGCCAGUAUCCUGCUGGGUUCUCACCGUACCAUUCCCCACCCACCAUGUAUGGUAGCAGAAGCCCACCAACCCCUUAUGCAUACUCACCGGAAGCAGCACCCCCUCCUCCUCAUGCCGGAUCAUACCCUGGACCUCCGAUGAACUAUCCUGCAUAUGGGGCUUAUGGCAAUGGUAUGGUACCAGCUUAUCAGCCGGCUUACUACCGAUAGACAUGACAAACCUCAUAUGAAGACGGUAAGCACUGAUACG
rnacentral:lncRNA from 1 species